GACUGAUUGCAACGGAUAACUCGGGUAACGGAUAGCUGAAGCUCGUAGCGAAAUGCGAUACUUGGUGUGAAUUGCAGAAUCCCGCGAACCAUCGAAUCUUUGAACGCAAGUUGCGCCCGAGGUGUUUCCGACCGAGGGCAUGCCUCCCUGGGCUUCACGCAUCGCGUCGCCCC
rnacentral:rRNA from 1 species